rnacentral:siRNA from 1 species
UGAGGUACUCUGUUGUAAAUUGC